UACGUAGGGUGCGAGCGUUUGUCCGGAAUUACUGGGCGUAAAGAGCUCGUAGGUGGUUUGUCGCGUUGUUCGUGAAAACUCACAGCUUAACUGUGGGCGUGCGGGCGAUACGGGCAGACUGGAGUACUGCAGGGGAGACUGGAAGUUCCUGGUGUAGCGGUGAAAUGCGCAGAUAUCAGGAGGAACACCGGUGGCGAAGGCGGGUCUCUGGGCCGAUACUGACGUGGAGGAGCGAAAGCGUGGGGAGCGAACAGG
rnacentral:rRNA from 1 species